rnacentral:tRNA from 1 species
GCGGGGGUGCCCGAGCUAGGACAAAGGGGGCGGUCGCGAACUCCGCUGGCGUCGGCCUGCCCGGGUUCGAAUCCCGGCCCCCGCACCA